rnacentral:misc_RNA from 1 species
GAUGAAGAACGUAGCGAAAUGCGAUAAGUAAUGUGAAUUGCAGAAUUCAGUGAAUCAUCGAAUCUUUGAACGCACCUUGCGCUCCCUGGUAUUCCGGGGAGCACGCCUGUUCGAGUGUCGCGAUAUUCUUCAAGCCUUGGAUGGAUUUUUUUUUUUGUCUGUCCUUGGGCUUGGUUGUUGGGCUCUGCCGUGUCCUUCAUUGGGACGGCUGGCCUUAAAAGCAUUAGCCGAUCCUCGUGUGGUACUGGUUCUACUCAGCGUGAUAACAAUCUGAUCGUUGAGGACAUCUUCUGGAUGGCCAGUCAUCAUUUGGGUUGCUUCUAAACCGGUUUCGCAGAUUGCUCAAUCUGUGUGCCACUUUUCAGCUUUGACCUCGAAUCAGGUGGGACUACCCGCUGAACUUAAGCAUAUCAAUAAGCGGAGGA